rnacentral:rRNA from 1 species
AUACGGAAGGUGCAAGCGUUAAUCGGAAUUACUGGGCGUAAAGCGCGCGUAGGUGGUUUGUUAAGUUGGAUGUGAAAGCCCUGGGCUCAACCUAGGAACUGCAUCCAAAACUAACUCACUAGAGUACGAUAGAGGGAGGUAGAAUUCAUAGUGUAGCGGUGGAAUGCGUAGAUAUUAUGAAGAAUACCAGUGGCGAAGGCGGCCUCCUGGAUCUGUACUGACACUGAGGUGCGAAAGCGUGGGUAGCGAACAGGAUUAGAUACCCUGGUAGUCCACGCCGUAAACGAUGACAACUAGCUGUUGGGAGACAAUGUCUUUCAGUGGCGCAGCUAACGUUUUAAGUUGUCCGCCUGGGGAGUACGGCCGCAAGGCUAAAACUCAAAUGAAUUGACGGGGACCCGCACAAGCGGUGGAGCAUGUGGUUUAAUUCGAUGCAACGCGAAAAAACCUUACCUACUCUUGACAUACUUGGAAGCUCUUGUAAUGAGAGUGUGCCUUAUGGAACCAAGAUAC